rnacentral:misc_RNA from 1 species
GAUGAAGAACGUAGCGAAAUGCGAUAAGUAAUGUGAAUUGCAGAAUUCAGUGAAUCAUCGAAUCUUUGAACGCACAUUGCGCCCGCCAGUAUUCUGGCGGGCAUGCCUGUUCGAGCGUCAUUACAACCCUCAGGCCCCCGGGCCUGGCGUUGGGGAUCGGCGGAAGCCCCCUGCGGGCACAACGCCGUCCCCCAAAUACAGUGGCGGUCCCGCCGCAGCUUCCAUUGCGUAGUAGCUAACACCUCGCAACUGGAGAGCGGCGCGGCCACGCCGUAAAACACCCAACUUCUGAAUGUUGACCUCGAAUCAGGUAGGAAUACCCGCUGAACUUAAGCAUAUCAAUAAGCGGAGGU